UUAUUCAUGGCUCUUUGAAAUCAUUAAGAUUUGUCUGUCCUUUGAGGUAAGAUGACGCAAUCUGUGCAUAUUUCACUUGAAAUCAGCGUCAUUCUUACUUGAUUUUAUGCAAAAAGAUUAUUUCAUCCUAUUGAUAGUCCAAGGUCUUGUUGAAGUGGUUUUUACUAAUCAAACUAAGCGAUUCAAAACAACACUCAGUGGUGCUUUUCAUAAAUAGAGAGGGUCCUCGUAACAUUAAAAACCAUACACAGCUGGCUGAUACUAACAUUACAAAGAAGAACGUCGAAGUAACAACUUCAGCAGGUCAUCUAAUUCUCAAUAUGAAGACAUUCACCAUAGUGAUACUACUUGCGGGACUGCUCAUGACAGGUCACGCCCAACAAGCCUCAGAGGAGGAAGACGCUCCCGUCAGACCGACGGUUGUACGAGACAGGAGCGCAGUCGAGAGUGCCAGUCCUGAAGCUAUAGCUAAAAUGAUUGCCGAUUUUAGGAGGGCUGUAGCUAGAAUGGGCCUGACUAUUGAUGAUCUGAUCGCUGAUUUAAACCUAUGAACAUUUUAAAUGAGAAUCAGCAAUGGUGUCAAGUGAGAAAUGUAAAGUCUAAAUUGAAGAAAGAACCCCAUAUUAACUACUUGCAAUGUUUACAAAUAUAUUGAAAUAAUGACUUCGUUGACGUUUGUACAUCUAUAUGUCAAAUUUGAAAUUCAAAAUAAAAUACUGCUUUUACUGAA